rnacentral:misc_RNA from 1 species
GAUGAAGAACGUAGCGAAAUGCGAUACUCGGUGUGAAUUGCAGAAUCCCGUGAACCAUCGAGUCUUUGAACGCAAGUUGCGCCUCAAGCCAUUAGGUUGAGGGCACGUCUGCCUGGGCGUCACAUAUCGUUGCCUGAUGCCAGUUUCCUCGUGAUGGGUGACUGUGCAGGGCGAAUGAUGGCUUCCCGUGAGCAUUGUUGCCUCAUGGUUGGUUGAAAAUUGAGUCCUUGGUAGGGAGCGCCGUGAUAGAUGGUGGUUGAGUGACGAACGAGACCCAAUCAUGUGAGACCCCUACCGAAUUUGGCCUUCAUGACCCACAUGCGUCUUUGGAACGCUCAUGACGAGACCUCAGGUCAGGCGGGGCUACCCGCUGAGUUUAAGCAUAUCAAUAAGCGGAGGA